rnacentral:tRNA from 1 species
GCUUCCAUCGGCUAUCGGUCAGGCCGCCAGGUUCUCAACCUGGAGAGACAGGUUCGAUUCCUGUUGGAAGCACCA